rnacentral:rRNA from 1 species
AGGACGAACGCUGGCGGCGUGCUUAACACAUGCAAGUCGAGCGGAAAGGCCCUUCGGGGUACGUCGAGCGGCGAACGGGUGAGUAACACGUGAGCAACCUGCCCUUAGCUUCGGGAUAGCUCCGGGAAACCGGAAUUAAUACCGAAUAUGACCAUGGCCGGAAUCGGCCAUGGUGGAAAGUUUUUUCGGCUAGGGAUGGACUCGCGGCCUAUCAGCUAGUUGGUGAGGUAACGGCCCACCAAGGCGACGACGGGUA